GUUUAAUUCCUCCAGAAUCACAGGGCUGAGAGUGGGGGAGGGAAACACAGCAAGUGGAAGCCAGAGGAACGCUGUCCACACAUGGCCAGGGGCUCCAGGGAAGAAUGCCAGACUCCACUGGGCCCAGCCUCCCCUGCACACCCUCUUCUGAUUCCUCCACACACACCCUGCCCACCCCCAGGGUGAAAGGGAUGUAUCCUGAGUCAGGCUUACUUCACUUAGCACACAGUUCACUUGACUUAAUCACUCCACAGUGUAUUAAAAAAAUCAUGACAUCACUUUGUACCCCAUCAACAUACAAUAGUAGAAUUCGUCAAUAUAUAAUGCUUAAAAGAGAUGCGGGCUGAGGGGACACCGGAAAAAGAGCCAGGGGUCUCCCAGCUCCAGCCUGGUGUGUUUGCACAGGGAAAGGGAGGCUGGAAAGGAAAAGGAACCAGCUCAAGGUCACACAGUGAGUUCAGAUCAGAAAGCAGAGUUGGAUUCUCUCCCCGGGCCCUGGGACAGCAGGGAACCUCCGAGCCCAGCCGGGCUCCCUGGCUGCAGGCUGCAGGCAGCAGGAGAGACCACGACCCCACAGGGCACCCCGCGCUGCCCGCCCCAGCCUGGAUGCCUCUGAAGGCUGAAAUCUGCUCACACCACGACCCUUUGGAAUGAAGGUUUGGGAAGCUGGCAGUGCAGGAAAAGACUUCGCUUGGAAUCCUUCCGAUGCAGAUGUGUGAAGACUCUGGUAGCCACAUCUCGAGGACUGAGCAUCUUCUAUUGAUUGGAAAAACACACAACACCAGUGAGUUUGCAGAGCACACGCCGCAUUUUUCAGGGUUUGGGCAGGCGGAAAGCCAGCCGCGGGGCCUCAGCGCCCCCUGGGAGCCAUAGCCGGUAGUGCGCCCUGACGGAGCCGAAGGAGCCCAGCGGGCGGCUGGGAGGGAGGGAAGCCGGGCACCCUCAGAGGCAGGCAGCCCUGCAGCAGGCUCGAAGCAGAGCCACGCACUCCCAGCCCUGCCAGUUCAUCCCUGUGUGGCUUUGGGCAAACCACAUCACCUCCCUGGUCUCCAGCUUCCCCACGGUAAACUUGGGGUACAGCCUGUGUGCACCCCACGGGCCUUUGGAAUGGGCUGUGUGACCUCCUGCGCGCCACGAACGUCUCAGUGCAUCACGUUCUUGGCAGGGACAGCUGCCCACCCGCGGAGCUGCUUGUAGAGCUGCAGCGAAUAAUGAGCAGCCAACUGCCACGCACAGGCCUCUUUGAAUUUGAUCGAUGGACAUAGCCCAGCCUUGGGGGGCCCCUCUGCGUUCGACCAGCAGGCAGGAAAGACACAGGAACAAGGACCAAAGACGACCUGGAGUCUAAGCAUCAAGGACACACGGGUGUCCCUGGCAGGAGCCUGAGCUGCAGGAACCGGGGUCCUCAGCUGUGAGUCCCUGGCCUCCUUCCCCCGGAUGAGCCUCUCGGCUGCCCAGGACAGCUUGCCAGCCACCUGCUCCAGAAGCCUGCUCACCCCAUUGUGAGCCCUUCAUUUUGCCGAGUGGAGGACCGUCACCACAGGCAGGGAGUGGAGCAGCUGGAGCCCAGGUGUGCGGAGCCCAAGGCCAGAGCUCCUCAUCCACCACUGUGGCUGGCAGGAGGGGGCCCUGAGAUUGGCCCAUCCCUAGGAAGACAAGAGGAUUGGGGUGUGGACGGAGCUGGGGAGGUAUGGGAGUUCCAAGAUGGUGGUUUGCAGGGGGGAGGUAGAAGAGAAGGACCAGGGCAUGUGGCGGGAGAGACAUAGCCAUCCCUGAGCGAGGGGCUGUUCCCUGCUGUCUGAUGCUCAGGGCCCCUCCGCCACCCAGCUUCCCUGCCUGUCCCCCUGCAUCCUGCCCUGUGUGGAGUCACCAUGCCCAGGAAUGCAGAGUUAGGUGCAGCCAGGGGACAAUGCACUUGGGGUCAGCGUCUGGCAACAGGGGCUUCCUUGACCCAACAUGGCGCAUGGCUUUGGGCACACCAGCUCCUCUUAAGGUGCAGCCUUUGGAACAGUGAGGCGGCGCCUCAUGAUGUGUUGAACGUGGCAACAGUGGUGGUAGCCAGGGCUUUCUGGGCUCUGCCAAGGUCAGGGAUCACCACCUCUCACUCUGGCCUCUGCAUGGGGUCUCUGAGCCCACCUCCUGCUUCAACCCUGGUUUUCCUGUGAGGAAACCAGGCACACAGAGGCCAAGCCACAGAGCAGCCGCAGAGGGAGGCAGGUGGGCGGGACUCGCUGACUGUACACCAGGCUCUGCCGAGCUCAUGAAGCACUGGCUGUUACCGUGGCCAGUGCUGUCCUUCCUCGGCCAGGCGUGCAGGGAGCUUGCAAGGCGCCAGUAUCCAGAGUUCUUUCAACCCCCUGAAAUGGCUACACAAGCAAAGGCAGGCCUGGCUACACCCAGCACCAGGGAUACGGUGGCCGGGCCUAGCAGAGUGAGUCCAGGCCAGGACCUGCCAGGUGAGGGGCACCCAGGGCUCCUGUGAGUGACAUCUCCAAGGAAGGUGGGAAACAGCCGAGUCAGGAGCCAGUAGAGGUGUAGGGUCCCGGCAGGCAGAGCCCUGCAGAAAGAGCUGAUUCCAGCAACCCUGGAGGAGGUGACACCUCAUCCCUGGAGGGUCCAGAAAGGGGAAGGUCCCUAGGAGGAGACAGAGACUCCCAAGGGAGCAGAAGCCCCAGGCCUGGGCUGCCGGAUGGAGUGAGCAAGGUGGCUUGGAGUCCGGCAAGGGGCAGGGGUUGGUCCCAGGCUAGCAGGAGAGCACAGGAAGGGGUGGGUGGCAGGAACCUGGUGCUCUCCACAGAUGGAGCUGUUGCUGCCUGGGGGAAGGGGCGGGAGGAGUGAAACCCACAGGACGCUCUAAGGCAGCAGGGCCAUCUAGAGCAAACAGGCGGCUGCUAGCCUGGCCAGGGCGCAUCUAGAAGGAACAGCUAUGUCCUAAAGGCUCAGAGGAAGCAGCCUGGUCGUGGGGGCACUGGAGAUGCCCAAGGGGGUCAGCUUCAAGCCUGAUCUGGGGAGGAAAAUGUUCAUGUCAGAUUCCUCAGGCAGUGGCUGCCGGCGGGGUGGGGCUCAUAGCAUGGGACCCUGAGAGUGGCUGCCAGCAGGGUGGGGGCUUACACCAUGGGGUCCUGAGAGUGGCUGCCGGCAGGGUGGGGCUUACACCAUGGGGCCCUGAGAGUGGCUGCCGGCUGGGUGGGGUUUACACCAUGGGGCCCUGAGAGUGGCUGCCGGCUGGGUGGGGCUUACACCAUGGGGUGCUGAGAAUGGCUGCUGGUGGGGUGGGGCUUACACCAUGGGGUACUGAGAAUGGCUGCUGGUGGGGUGGGGCUCAUAGCAUGGGACCCUGAGAAUGGCUGCUGGCGGGGUGGGGCUCACACCAUGGGACCCCGAGAUGACCAGAGGUACCAUUGAUGAUCAGUGGGUGCAAAGAAGCGGGGUGACAGGGAGGAUUCCAUACCUGGAUCCCAGUCCACUUCUGUCCUUAAGUCAUCCCGGGCCUCAGUCUCACCUAUGAACUGGGUAUGCAGAGCGUAUGACCCCACGGCCCCAUCGGGUCCCCACAACAGCCCUGCGGAUUGGGCUGGGAAAAUGAAGACCCCAUGUUACAGAUUAGAAAACUGAGGCAGAGGCCUAGUUGCCUCCAAUACUUCAGUGAACAUGAGGUGCCCAGGCCUCACCCCAGUGUGCACUUUCUUGUGCUUGGAACUAGCAUUGGUUCCUAGCCCGGGAAGGGAGACCACAGGGGCCUGAGCACAUUCCCCCAUCAGUCCAGGGCCAGUGACUGGGCAGCAGUAGGGCCCGGCCACAGAGAGCCCAGCUGAGGACAGGGAAAGCUGGCCUGGUCUUCAAUGGGCUGCAGGGGCCGUGAGCCCUCUUUCCACAUUGCUGUGCCCUGCUGCUCUCUGCAGACAGAAAGCUCGAGCUCAGGCCUCUGCUUCAGAAAAGCCCAAGAAACAACCCAAAGCAACAAAUUGUCUCCUAAACAAGAGGCUGCCUGCCGGCGCCGGGGGCGGCAGUGGGAGGGCGGGCUGCGCGUAAAUCUGCCCCAGCGCCCGCAGUUACGGUGAUUCAGGCCCCGGAAGGGCCGGUUUAUUAAAAAUCAUCCCUCUGCGUUCCAGCAUGAGUUAGGGAGUGCAUCUCUCGCAGAGAACAAAUGGGGCUUUUAGAAGUCAAUGUAAGCAACUCUGCCCUCUGCCUCCUCGCGCAGUGGGCGGAGGCUGUUACCCAGGACGCCGUCUGGGCUCGGACUGGGUUGAGGACGGGAGUCUCACUUUUACCAAAACCAAGAUCCAUCAAGAUUUCUAGCAGAGUCACGACCCUGGAGCCACGACUAGGGCCAAGUAUUCCCAGUCUCACGUGGCAGAGCAGGGAAGACCCUUUGGACUGGAGUCUGGGUGCCCCACUACACAGAUGAGAGCACAGAUGCCCCUGCCCACUCCCAGGACAGGAACAGGGCCCACUCCAUCCCACCGCCAUGGGGGGUCCUAAGUCCCCAGCCUCUGUUCCCUCUCACUGCACACCCAGAACCCCCACCCUCUGGGCCUCCAGCACACCCCUCUUCCCCUUUGUCCUCCCUUUCGCCGGGACCACUCCCAGCACGGCCCCUGGCCUGCUUCUCUCUGGUCUCUAGGGCGAGCCUCACACCCUGGGCAGAGUGGUGGGUGGAGCACACAUGUGGGAGGCUCCCACUGGAAUCACCCCACUCCAUGGCUGCCCCGGCUACCAAGACCUUGCUCGGGGCUGCUUGGGGCUGCUUGGGGCAUAGGGCCCUUGGCGGGAGCCCAGCAUGAAUUUGGGGCAGAGGACAAGGAGCUCUGGGUGCAUGUGGCCUGGCUGUCCGUGGAAGGCACUGUUUCUGUCAAAGAGGAAGAGGAGGGAGGAAGGUGGUGCCUCAGGGCCUGGAGCACCACAGCCACUUCCUGUCCAGUGUCCAGUGCAAAGAAAAAAAAAAACAAGACUCUGUAAGAA